rnacentral:rRNA from 1 species
GACGAACGCUGUCGGCGUGCUUAACACAUGCAAGUCGAACGGAAAGGCCCUGCUUUUGUGGGGUGCUCGAGUGGCGAACGGGUGAGUAACACGUGAGUAACCUGCCCUUGACUUUGGGAUAACUUCAGGAAACUGGGGCUAAUACCGGAUAGGAGCUCCUGCUGCAUGGUGGGGGUUGGAAAGUUUCGGCGGUUGGGGAUGGACUCGCGGCUUAUCAGCUUGUUGGUGGGGUAGUGGCUUACCAAGGCUUUGACGGGUAGCCGGCCUGAGAGGGUGACCGGCCACAUUGGGACUGAGAUACGGCCCAGACUCCUACGGGAGGCAGCAGUGGGGAAUAUUGCACAAUGGGCGGAAGCCUGAUGCAGCAACGCCGCGUGCGGGAUGACGGCCUUCGGGUUGUAAACCGCUUUCGCCUGUGACGAAGCGUGAGUGACGGUAAUGGGUAAAGAAGCACCGGCUAACUACGUGCCAGCAGCCGCGGUGAUACGUAGGGUGCGAGCGUUGUCCGGAUUUAUUGGGCGUAAAGGGCUCGUAGGUGGUUGAUCGCGUCGGAAGUGUAAUCUUGGGGCUUAACCCUGAGCGUGCUUUCGAUACGGGCUGACUUGAGGAAGGUAGGGGAGAAUGGAAUUCCUGGUGGAGCGGUGGAAUGCGCAGAUAUCAGGAGGAACACCAGUGGCGAAGGCGGUUCUCUGGGCCUUUCCUGACGCUGAGGAGCGAAAGCGUGGGGAGCGAACAGGCUUAGAUACCCUGGUAGUCCACGCUGUAAACGGUGGGUACUAGGUGUGGGGUCCAUUCCACGGGUUCCGUGCCGUAGCUAACGCUUUAAGUACCCCGCCUGGGGAGUACGGCCGCAAGGCUAAAACUCAAAGGAAUUGACGGGGCCCCGCACAAGCGGCGGAGCAUGCGGAUUAAUUCGAUGCAACGCGUAGAACCUUACCUGGGUUUGACAUGGAUCGGGAGUGCUCAGAGAUGGGUGUGCCUCUUUUGGGGUCGGUUCACAGGUGGUGCAUGGCUGUCGUCAGCUCGUGUCGUGAGAUGCUGGGUUAAGUCCCGCAACGAGCGCAACCCUUGUUCACUGUUGCCAGCACGUUAUGGUGGGGACUCAGUGGAGACCGCCGGGGUCAACUCGGAGGAAGGUGGGGAUGACGUCAAGUCAUCAUGCCCCUUAUGUCCAGGGCUUCACGCAUGCUACAAUGGCUGGUACAGAGAGUGGCGAGCCUGUGAGGGUGAGCGAAUCUCGGAAAGCCGGUCUCAGUUCGGAUUGGGGUCUGCAACUCGACCUCAUGAAGUCGGAGUCGCUAGUAAUCGCAGAUCAGCAACGCUGCGGUGAAUACGUUCCCGGGGCU